CUUGGCGGCGAUAGUGCGGUGGUCCCACCUGACCCCAUGCCGAACUCAGAAGUGAAACGCCGUAACGCCGAUGGUAGUGUGGGGAUUCCCCAUGUGAGAGUAGGUCACCGCCAGGUAUUAU
rnacentral:rRNA from 1 species